GGUUAUAUAUUCAAUUAUGAUUUUAAAUUGCAAAUUUAAAGGUAAAGUAUUUUUUAUAGCCU
rnacentral:tRNA from 1 species